CUUUCUCAAAAGCUUCCUGAGGACAGGAAGAAGCACCUUCAGAGAAGGAGCCUUAUAAUCCUGUGGAUCUGUCCAAAUGGACAAGACCAAUGUCGUCGAUUAUGAGCCCAGGAACUGGCUGUGACUGCCCCUGUGCUCCUCACUGUGCAGUUUCCCUGCCGAGGUGGAAGGCUGUGUGUGUAGCCAGCUCACCACGUCCCCUGCACAAGGAGCUUCAGCAAGACCAUCAGAAGCACAGAUUCUUCAUCUGUAUGUUACUUCUUCGGGGCUACCAUAACCAAUUACCACAUACCCAGUGACUUAUAACAAUAGAAAUUUAUUCUGUCACAGUUCCGGAAGCCAGAAGUCUAAAACGAAGGUGUUCUCAGGGUCAUGCUCUCUCUAAAGCCUCUGGGAGAGGAUCCUUCCUGGCCUCCUCUAGCUUCUGGAAAUGCCAGCAAUUCUUGGCCUUCCUUAACCUGCAGAUGCAUCACUCCCAUCUCCGCCUUCACCAUCACAUGGCCUUCUCUUCUAUGUCUCUGUCUUCACGUGAUGUUUUCUCUCUGUGUCUGUAUCCCACUACCUUCUUCUUAGAAGGACAUUUAUCCUUGGAUUAGGGUCCACCCUAAUCCAGUAUGACCUCAUCUUAACUGGAUUACACCUGCAAAGACCCUACUUCCAAAUAAGGUCACAUUCUGAGGUACCAGGUAGGCAUGAAUUUUGGGGGAACUCUACUUACCUGGAGUAACAGUACCUAUCUUAGCUGUGGUGACACAUACGUAGUACUCUGAGUGCCACAUCCUGAGCAUGAAUGUAAUGAUAGCUCUUAUUAAAAACAAACUAUACUUUGACUUCUC
rnacentral:lncRNA from 10 species